UAAGGAGGACGGAGAGAAGCAACUUGUGCCAGCUUCCCACCUCUCUCGCCCAGCUGCCCGGUCUGGCGCAAGGCCAGCAUCGCACGGAACAGUAUUUGAACAGCAGCUGCCAUUGCUCCCAGGGCUGCCAGCCGACAAGGCUGACCUGCGAAGCACCAGGCAGACAGCAUCUAAUGGCAACGGCCAAAAAGAAACAGGAACGUUUCUUCCUCCCAGCUCUGAUGAUUUGAAUUGAUAUGGAAGAAAAAGACACACUUUAAAAAUGCUUGCUUGUGCGUGGAGUUUAAGAAAAGGUAUGUGCAUCUGAAGAUAGUGAAGGCAGUUAUGAAGGAGAGCUGACUUGAUUCAGGAACAUAAAACGGUGGGCCUGAAAGAAAAUGGGUGAAGCUAAUCAGAGAGAGGACACGGGAGGGAGACAAACAUUUACACUGCAGCAGGAGAGCCAGCCCCGUCGCUCUCAGCACCAGGCCCGCAAUCGGGCCCCAGUGUGUAGCACCAUCUGCAGGAACCAGAAAACACCACGUCCAAGAACUGGUGGCACCUUGGUGGGCCACCAGGCAGCUUCAGGUGUUGCUGCCGCAUCAUCUCCAGGCUGCAGCCAGGGUAGCCACGUUGUCAAAAGUCACAAAUAUGCCGUGGAUGCAACCACUCUCAGUGCGCUGUGUGAAUCUGGCCUAUAAUCUCUUUAUACUACAAUGGCAGAGUUAAAGCUAAAAGCCGAAUAAUGUGAGAGGGAGAACAAAGAAUUAAACUAUUGUUGCUUAGCGUAACAAGACCUAUUUUUUCAAGGAUAAUUAUGCUGAAGAGCCCAAAAGCAGCAAGAAGUCUCCUUCUUUGGAGUGUUAAUGAUUAACAACAACAAAAAAAAUCUUUUAAAAUACCUCAGACUUCGGUAUGUAACAAAAGUCAUAAAAGGAAAAAACACUUUAUGAUUUUACAGAAUUUCACCUCUUCCAAGCAUAGUCAGACCAUGGUAGUGGCUGGGAGAGAGGCACAAGACGGGCAACACGUUGGGUUGCAAGUACUGGGUAAACAAAGCAAAGCCAAUGUUCUUGGGAGUGCUUCAAGCUCCCUAGGCCAGACGGGAUGUUACUCUAAGCAUUCACUCUUCCAGCUUCAUUGUCAUAGCCACACUUCCAGUUUCAUUUCAUUGUUAAUAUACCAUGUCUGUCCUCCACUUAGCAUGUCUGAUUGCUAGAGAGAAAGCAAAUUUAGUCUCAAGCUUGGUCAACGUCUAAAAUUUUUAACACACAGUUGUAUUGGUGUGACCAGCUGACAAAGCUAUGCUGAUAAAAAACCUGGGGAAGAUACUAAUGUAUCUACCACAUCUCUAUACGAUUUGUAUUAAAGCACGCAAAAUCAAAACA